GGCGCUGGAGCCAGAUGGUUAGGCGGCUGCCUGGGGCACCGACGCGUAGCGUUGGUCUACAGUUGAAGUGGGUUCGAUUCCCCACCGGCGUCU
rnacentral:tRNA from 1 species